rnacentral:rRNA from 1 species
ACGCUGGCGGCGUGCCUAAUACGUGCAAGUAGAACGCUGAAGGAGGAGCUUGCUUCUCUGGAUGAGUUGCGAACGGGUGAGUAACGCGUAGGUAACCUGCCUGGUAGCGGGGGAUAACUAUUGGAAACGAUAGCUAAUACCGCAUAACAGUAGAUGUUGCAUGACAUUUGCUUAAAAGGUGCAAUUGCAUCACUACCAGAUGGACCUGCGUUGUAUUAGCUAGUUGGUGGGGUAACGGCUCACCAAGGCGACGAUACAUAGCCGACCUGAGAGGGUGAUCGGCCACACUGGGACUGAGACACGGCCCAGACUCCUACGGGAGGCAGCAGUAGGGAAUCUUCGGCAAUGGACGGAAGUCUGACCGAGCAACGCCGCGUGAGUGAAGAAGGUUUUCGGAUCGUAAUGCUCUGUUGUAAGAGAAGAACAGGUGUGAGAGUGGAAAGUUCACACUGUGACGGUAUCUUACCAGAAAGGGACGGCUAACUACGUGCCAGCAGCCGCGGUAAUACGUAGGUCCCGAGCGUUGUCCGGAUUUAUUGGGCGUAAAGCGAGCGCAGGCGGUUAGAUAAGUCUGAAGUUAAAGGCUGUGGCUUAACCAUAGUACGCUUUGGAAACUGUUUAACUUGAGUGCAAGAGGGGAGAGUGGGAUUCCAUGUGUAGCGGUGAAAUGCGUAGAUAUAUGGAGGAACACCGGUGGCGAAAGCGGCUCUCUGGCUUGUAACUGACGCUGAGGCUCGAAAGCGUGGGGAGCAAACAGGAUUAGAUACCCCUGGUAGUCCACGCCGUAAACGAUGAGUGCUAGGUGUUAGACCCUUUCCGGGGUUUAGUGCCGCAGCUAACGCAUUAAGCACUCCGCCUGGGGAGUACGACCGCAAGGUUGAAACUCAAAGGAAUUGACG